rnacentral:tRNA from 1 species
GGAUAGGUGGGUGAGCUGGCUGAAACCACACCCCUGCUAAGGGUGCAAGUCUUAACAGGCUUCGAGGGUUCGAAUCCCUCCCUGUCCGCCA